UACGGGGGGUGCGAGCGUUGUCCGGAAUCACUGGGCGUAAAGGGCGCGUAGGUGGCCCAGUCAGCGUGCGGUGAAAGCUCGGGGCUCAACCCCGAGUCGGCCGUGCGAACUACUGGGCUGGAGCACUGUAGAGGCAGGCGGAAUUCCGGGUGUAGCGGUGGAAUGCGUAGAGAUCCGGAAGAACACCGGUGGCGAAGGCGGCCUGCUGGGCAGUUGCUGACACUGAGGCGCGACAGCGUGGGGAGCAAACAGG
rnacentral:rRNA from 1 species